GGGUGGAGAAAGAGAGAGAGAUGGCGAAGGAAGUGCUCCUGUCUAGCGUCUCAAAACGUCGGUGUGUUUCUUCUUCGCUCCAGAGGUAGAGAGAGAGAGAGUGAAGGGAAUUGAAAUCGAUGCUUGAGGUAGAGAGAGAGAGUAUCGGUGCCCAAGUGGAACAGCUGCAUGUUCCGUCCCAUAUUCAAAUCGAUGGCGGCCAUGGUUGUUGGGAUGAAGAGUCGAUUUGUUUUUAGGUCCAACGCUCCACCCACCAAUUCAUCAUGAAGGAAGCGGAGAGUUUAGUGAAAGAGUCCGAUUUCAAUCCCAGUGGCUGCUCUUGACCUUGAUAAUGAAGAAGAGUGAGAACGAGAAGAUAGACCUAAAAUUGUUGUUGUGAAUGUAGAAAAGAAAACAGGAGAAGAUGAGAAGAAGGGUGAAAGGUCUGGUGCUUCCUGCUCAAGCUCGGAUCUUCCUUGCAUGGAUAAGCUCAGGGAUCAGCUUUCUUGAGAGGUUUUGAUUUAGGACAAAUUUCUUGGAUAAGCUCAGGCUUGAACUUUAUCAACAAAUUUCUUCAAAAUUAGUACAAAUCUUCAUAUAUGAUUGAUUUAGGAUUCGGGCUCAGAGGUUUUGAUUAAAGAGAGUAUUGAUUUUGCUAAUAAUUUCCAUGUUUUUCUCUGACAAGAAUUGAGGUUGGGUACUUGCAUGUGAGGAUUCUCGGCAACAUUGGAAUGGUUUCAAGGAAGAUGCAGAGGAGGAGGAUAUGGAUAACAAUGAUGAUCUUGCUGGAGAUGCCAUUGAAAGUGAUGACAAGGAAGAACAGGGACCAGCGGAAGGGCCUCCCAAAACAUCAAAAUUUAUAGCAUGAAUGCCCCUGUGAUGGUUGAGUUGGAGGGUGAGACUGACCACUUGAGAUUGCUAUGAAAGAGCUUCGUGAGAGGAAGAUACCCUUUACCAUCUGCCACUACCUGCUUGAUAGAAGCAAAAGAUACUCUAAAAGUGCAGGCAAGAAAACAGCGGAGUACAUGGUGGCAUUAGCAGAGAAAACUAAAGACAUGUCCGUGUCUGCAGGUUCUGCACUACAAUUGAUUCCAGUGCAACCAGUCAAUGAUUUUAUGGAUGCUUCUAAAGUUAGUAAAUUGAUUCAGUAGAAAGGAUACUUCAAAGGGUCUUCUAAUUCAUGGAAUCAUGGACUUCAUGGUGUGGUACACCAUAAUAUAACUUUAGCUGCUCUUGGUACAUCCAGGUUGAUGCCAAAACAACCACUUUGGAGAAACUGGAAGCUAAUAACAAGACCAGAAGCUAACUUAUAUCCAGCAAAAAGGUGUGGAACAUGAAGCCACUAAAGUCUUACACAAAAAAAAUCUCAAUGUGCUUUUUCAUUGGCUCAAUUUGUUCAGACCAACUCCCAUCAAAGAGUUCUCACACACCAAGUUUCAUUUCAACUUACUGAUUGGGGUCAAGAAAUUUGGGUAAUGUGUACUUGACCUUAAAAGGUGGUUGGUAAGGUGUACUUGACCUCGAAAGGAUUUUGAGUUUGACAUUCAAUUGGUCAUAAAACAGGUUGAAGUUAUAUCCUAAUUGAAGCUCAAGCUCAUUCCGGUGUAGUUGUCUUUACACACUCUUUGAGAUCAAAGUAGAACUUUCUCCAAUUUCUCCACCGUAAUCAAUGAAUUCAAAUCAGUUUGCGCAAAGAUUCUACCAAGUAAUGUUAU
rnacentral:lncRNA from 1 species